GAUGAACGCUGGCGGCGUGCCUAAUACAUGCAAGUCGAGCGAACGGACGAGAAGCUUGCUUCUCUGAUGUUAGCGGCGGACGGGUGAGUAACACGUGGAUAACCUACCUAUAAGACUGGGAUAACUUCGGGAAACCGUAGCUAAUACCGGAUAAUACUUUGAACCGCAUGGUUCAAAAGUGAAAGACGGUCUUGCUGUCGCUUAUAGAUGGAUCCGCGUUGCAUUAGCUAGUUGGUAAGGUAACGGCUUACCAAGGCAACGAUGCAUAGCCGAGCUGAGAGGGUGAUCAGCCACACUGGAACUGAGACACGGUCCAGACUCCUACGGGAGGCAGCAGUAGGGAAUCUUCGGCAAUGGGCGAAAGCCUGACGGAGCAACGCCGCGUGAGUGAUGAAGGUCUUCGGAUCGUAAAGCUCUGUUAUUGGGGAAGAACAUAUGUGUAAGUAACUGUGCACAUCUUGACGGUACCUAAUCAGAAAGCCACGGCUAACUACGUG
rnacentral:rRNA from 1 species